rnacentral:misc_RNA from 1 species
AAGACUAUAGACCUGCGGAGUACCUGCGGAGGGAUCAUUACUGUGAUUUACUACUACACUGCGUGAGCGGAACGAAAACAACAACACCUAAAAUGUGGAAUAUAGCAUAUAGUCGACAAGAGAAAUCUACGAAAAAACAAACAAAACUUUUAACAAUGGAUCUCU